rnacentral:rRNA from 1 species
UACGUAGGGUGCGAGCGUUAAUCGGAAUUACUGGGCGUAAAGCGUGCGCAGGCGGUUCGCUAAGUCAGACGUGAAAGCCCCGGGCUUAACCUGGGAAUGGCGUUUGAAACUGGCGGGCUCGAGUACGGCAGAGGGGGGUGGAAUUCCACGUGUAGCAGUGAAAUGCGUAGAUAUGUGGAGGAACACCGAUGGCGAAGGCAGCCCCCUGGGCCGAUACUGACGCUCAUGCACGAAAGCGUGGGGAGCAAACAGG